rnacentral:rRNA from 1 species
GAUGAACGCUGGCGGCGUGCCUAAUACAUGCAAGUCGAGCGAACGGACGAGAAGCUUGCUUCUCUGAUGUUAGCGGCGGACGGGUGAGUAACACGUGGAUAACCUACCUAUAAGACUGGGAUAACUUCGGGAAACCGGAGCUAAUACCGGAUGAUAUUUUGAACCGCAUGGUUCAAAAGUGAAAGACGGUCUUGCUGUCACUUAUAGAUGGAUCCGCGCUGCAUUAGCUAGUUGGUAAGGUAACGGCUUACCAAGGCAACGAUGCAUAGCCGACCUGAGAGGGUGAUCGGCCACACUGGAACUGAGACACGGUCCAGACUCCUACGGGAGGCAGCAGUAGGGAAUCUUCCGCAAUGGGCGAAAGCCUGACGGAGCAACGCCGCGUGAGUGAUAAAGGUCUUCGGAUCGUAAAACUCUGUUAUUAGGGAAGAACAUAUGUGUAAGUAACUGUGCACAUCUUGACGGUACCUAAUCAGAAAGCCACGGCUAACUACGUG